CUGCCAGACUCCUACGGGAGGCAGCAGUGAGGAAUAUUGGUCAAUGGUCGGGAGACUGAACCAGCCAAGCCGCGUGAGGGAUGAAGGUACAGAGUAUCGUAAACCUCUUUUGUCAGGGAACAAAGGCGGGGACGCGUCCCCGGAUGAGUGUACCUGAAGAAAAAGCAUCGGCUAACUCCGUGCCAGCAGCCGCGGUAAUACGGAGGAUGCGAGCGUUAUCCGGAUUUAUUGGGUUUAAAGGGUGCGUAGGCGGGACCUUAAGUCAGCGGUAAAAUUGCGGUGCUCAACGCCGUAGAGCCGUUGAAACUGGGGCUCUUGAGUGAGCGAGAAGUAUGCGGAAUGCGUGGUGUAGCGGUGAAAUGCAUAGAUAUCGCGCAGAACUCCGAUUGCGAAGGCAGCAUGCCGGCUCCACACUGACGCUGAGGCACGAAAGCGUGGGUAUCGAACAGGAUUAGAUACCCUAGUA
rnacentral:rRNA from 1 species